rnacentral:rRNA from 1 species
CAGCACGGGUGCUUGCACCUGGUGGCGAGUGGCGAACGGGUGAGUAAUACAUCGGAACAUGUCCUGUAGUGGGGGAUAGCCCGGCGAAAGCCGGAUUAAUACCGCAUACGAUCUACGGAUGAAAGCGGGGGAUCUUCGGGCCUCGCGCUAUAGGGUUGGCCGAUGGCUGAUUAGCUAGUUGGUGGGGUAAAGGCCUACCAAGGCGACGAUCAGUAGCUGGUCUGAGAGGACGACCAGCCACACUGGGACUGAGACACGGCCCAGACUCCUACGGGAGGCAGCAGUGGGGAAUUUUGGACAAUGGGCGAAAGCCUGAUCCAGCAAUGCCGCGUGUGUGAAGAAGGCCUUCGGGUUGUAAAGCACUUUUGUCCGGAAAGAAAUCCUUGGCUCUAAUACAGUCGGGGGAUGACGGUACCGGAAGAAUAAGCACCGGCUAACUACGUGCCAGCAGCCGCGGUAAUACGUAGGGUGCGAGCGUUAAUCGGAAUUACUGGGCGUAAAGCGUGCGCAGGCGGUUUGCUAAGACCGAUGUGAAAUCCCCGGGCUCAACCUGGGAACUGCAUUGGUGACUGGCAGGCUAGAGUAUGGCAGAGGGGGGUAGAAUUCCACGUGUAGCAGUGAAAUGCGUAGAGAUGUGGAGGAAUACCGAUGGCGAAGGCAGCCCCCUGGGCCAAUACUGACGCUCAUGCAC